rnacentral:rRNA from 1 species
GAAAGCUAUUUAGGUAGCGCCUCGUGAAUUCAUCUCCGGGGGUAGAGCACUGUUUCGGCUAGGGGGCCAUCCCGGCUUACCAACCCGAUGCAAACUGCGAAUACCGGAGAAUGUUAUCACGGGAGACACACGGCGGGUGCUAACGUCCGUCGUGAAGAGGGAAACAACCCAGACCGCCAGCUAAGGUCCCAAAGUCAUGGUUAAGUGGGAAACGAUGUGGGAAGGCCCAGACAGCCAGGAUGUUGGCUUAGAAGCAGCCAUCAUUUAAAGAAAGCGUAAUAGCUCACUGGUCGAGUCGGCCUGCGCGGAAGAUGUAACGGGGCUAAACCAUGCACCGAAGCUGCGGCAGCGACGCUGAUGCGU